UGUGAAUUGCAGAAUUCCGUGAAUCAUCGAAUCUUUGAACGCACAUUGCGCGCCUCUGGUAUUCCGGGGGGCAUGCCUGUUUGAGCGUCAUUUCC
rnacentral:rRNA from 1 species